CACCAAGCAACUAGCCCAACCAACCAAAAACAACAAACCAACAUUUAUAAACCCCAAAGCACCAACACCCCCAAAACAAACCAUUUUACACCCUAGUAUGGGCGACAGAAAAGGAAAUACGGAGCUAUAGAGAAAGUACCGCAAGGGAACAAUGAAAAAGAAGUGAAACAACUUAACAAAGUACAAAAAAGCAGAGACUCAAACUCGUACCUUUUGCAUCAUGAUUUAGCAAGUACCCCUAAGCAAAGAGAACUUUAGUUUAGAGCCCCGAAACCCAGUGAGCUACUUCAAGACAGCCCAUAUGGGGCCAACCCGUCUCUGUGGCAAAAGAGUGGGAAGAGCUUCAAGUAGAGGUGACAGACCUAUCGAACUUGGUUAUAGCUGGUUGCCCGAGAACUGAAUAGAAGUUCAGCCUCCAGGCUUCUUUAUUCCCCAACAACCCACGAUAAUAAGAAACCAGGAGAGUUAGUCAAAGGGGGGACAGCCCCUUUGAACAAAACACAAUUUUAUCAGGAGGUUAAAGAUUAUAAUACCCCAAGGAAAUAUGUCUAAGUAGGCCUAAAAGCAGCCACCACAAUAGAAAGCGUUAAAGCUCAAACAUAACUCCUCCCUCUCAUCCUAAUAAUCUAAUCUCAAACCCCUAACAUUACCGGGCUACUCCAUGCAACCAUGGAAGAAAUUAUGCUAAUAUGAGUAAUAAGAGAGCUACGCCUCUCUCCCAGCAUCUGUGUAUAUCGGAACGGACAACCCGCCGAGCAUUAACGGCCCCAAUUACAGAGGGUAAUGAACACUAAACCACCACACUAGAAAACCACCCAUCAACCAACCGUUAACCUCACACCAGAAUGCUUCCAAGGAAAGACUAAAAGAAAAAGAAGGAACUCGGCAAACAUACCUUUAAAGCCUCGCCUGUUUACCAAAAACAUCGCCUCUUGCAAACACAACAUAUAAGAGGUCCCGCCUGCCCCGUGACACCCAAGUUUAACGGCCGCGGUAUCCUGACCGUGCAAAGGUAGCGCAAUCACUUGUCUUUUAAAUGAAGACCUGUAUGAAUGGCAUAACGAAGGCUUAACUGUCUCCUUUCUCAAGUCAAUGAAAUUGAUCUCCCCGUGCAGAAGCGGGGAUGACCUCAUAAGACGAGAAGACCCUGUGGAGCUUCAGACACAAAGCAGACCUAGCAAACACUCACACAACCCAAGCUAAAAGAAUCCUGCCCUAAUGUCUUCGGUUGGGGCGACCACGGAGAAACAAACAACCCCCGCGCAGAAUAAGAGAACAUCCUCUUAAAAAUGAGAGUCACCACUCCAAAAAACAGAACUUCUGACUACAAGAUCCGGCAACACCGAUCAACGAACCAAGUUACCCCAGGGAUAACAGCGCAAUCCCCUUCAAGAGCCCAUAUCGACAAGGGGGUUUACGACCUCGAUGUUGGAUCAGGACAUCCUAAUGGUGCAGCCGCUAUUAAGGGUUCGUUUGUUCAACGAUUAAAGUCCUACGUGAUCUGAGUUCAGACCGGAGUAAUCCAGGUCAGUUUCUAUCUAUGAAAUGAUCUUUUCUAGUACGAAAGGACCGAAAAGAAGGGGCCCAUGCUCAAAGUACGCCCCUCCCCGACCUAAUGAAAUCAACUAAAUUAGGCAUAGGGGCAUCUCCCAGGCGCCUAAGACUAAGGCUU
rnacentral:rRNA from 1 species